AAAGAAAGGAGAGGAAGAAAGAAAGACAAAAAGAAAGGAGAAAGAAAAUGGAUGAUGGAUGGAUUGCUCAAAGAGAGAAAUAGUGGUGAAAGAAAGGAGAGAGGAGAAAGACAAAAGGAAGGAAGGCAGAAAGAAAGUGGAUGAUGGACGGAUGAAUGGAUUGCUUAAGAGAAAGAAAUAUUGAUGGGGGGGGGAGGAGCAGUAAGGAAGAGCUAUAGAUGAAGAAGGACGAGAGGGUGGUAAAAGAGACAAAGAAAGAAAGUGAAGUAAGGAUGG
ensembl:lncRNA